rnacentral:rRNA from 1 species
UACGUAGGGUGCGAGCGUUUGUCCGGAAUUAUUGGGCGUAAAGAGCUCGUAGGCGGUGUGUCGCGUCGGCCGUGAAAACCUGCAGCUUAACUGUGGGCGUGCGGUCGAUACGGGCAUCACUGGGGUUCGGCAGGGGAGACUGGAAUUCCUGGUGUAGCGGUGAAAUGCGCAGAUAUCAGGAGGAACACCGGUGGCGAAGGCGGG